rnacentral:rRNA from 1 species
UGGGGAAUAUUGGACAAUGGGGGAAACCCUGAUCCAGCAAUGCCGCGUGAAUGAUGAAGGCCUUAGGGUUGUAAAGUUCUUUCACCUGUGAAGAUAAUGACGGUAGCAGGAGAAGAAGCCCCGGCUAACUCCGUGCCAGCAGCCGCGGUAAGACGGAGGGGGCUAGCGUUGUUCGGAAUGACUGGGCGUAAAGGGCGCGUAGGCGGUUUUUUAAGUGAGGCGUGAAAGCCCUGGGCUUAACCCAGGAGG